UGGGACGGUACGAACAAGACGGGCGGGUAUGGGACGCCCUCCUCACUCCAGCGGAAAACGGAAAGAUUCAUCGCCAUAGCAACAUAAAGAUGUGUCCUGUGCAAGGCACUGUUUAUUUUUGUAGUAAACGGACAUCACGUUCAGUUCUACCUUGUUUCUUCAUCCUCCCAGUAAAAUCAUAAAUCCAGUAACCAUCACAGUGACAGGAGCUAAAUAAGCUUCUGAUUGUCAGUGAUUCCACACGUCUUUGAACCCCUUCACUAUUGGACAUGUGCCUGACCAAUCAAAACAAAUGUCAACACAGAGGAAGAUUUCCGAGUUUCAUUUGAUCUUUCCAAACCACGUCUUUGUGAUUCUUUUCUGUCAGUUAGACAAAGGUGGACACAUACGCAACUUGUAGGAUAUGAUAUGAUAUGAUAUAGGGGUAUGUGCCACUUUUGACAUGCCGGUUCAUUGCCUUUCCCAUUGAUGAACCGGGCUGAGAUUUGGUCUACCCCCCCAUUUUCGGGUAUGCUGAAUCUAGAAAUACUAAUGAACCAGCGAUUGGACAUUCCUAUCAAAAGUUAUGGCGAAAUGGAAAUUUCCCAUUGAAAAUGAAUGGGAGCGGAAAAUGGCCAAAGUCAGUGUUUCCAAGUGUUCUACUUUGUCUGGAAAUGUUGAAAAUGGGUUGUGAGCACUUUUAAGGCCAUUUCCUGUCGUUUGAGGGUUAGCCUCUCGGAGUGCUCCUGUGUUAGGGUUAGGAUUGGGGAAUGACUCCCGUCUCCCUCUAAGUUAUGACCCUGCUUGGGUCUUCAAGGAGUGGGGCGUGCACGGGUCUUCGCCCCACCGGACACACUCCCCCGAUCCCACUAAGAACACUACUUGUGUUUAAUAAAUAUUGUUUUUAAGUUGGCUUUAAUGGGUUGAGUUAUUGUUUUUAAAUAUCUUACAUUUUUUUAACUGUUUUUUACACACAAACACACAAUACAUGAACUACACAUGAACUAUGUACAAACAAUGUGUGCAUCAUCGACAACGUUUCGACCCGACUUGGGUCUUCUUCAGGUCUGUGCACACAUAAGAAAGGGCUGCUGGGCACCAAUUCUUCGGUGUUGACAGCAGCUAAAAAAAGAAGAAAUGUCCCUGUUCCCUUCUCACCUUUUAUACCUUUUAACAAAUAAUUAACUGAAUUUCUCGGAUAUUUUAUGUUAUUUUCUACUCUAUUUAAUUUGAAAAUGUUAACCCUUUAACUGCUGAUUCUUAUUAAUCCAAAAUAAUAUAUUUAUGUUUAACCUGAGGUUAGGCUUAAGGCAGCAUUUCUCAAAGUGUGUGGCCCGCCCCCCCAGGGGGGCGCGGAGCCAUCUUUAAGAAGCUAACAAGUGGAGGGGAUGCAGGGGGUGCAUCUACGGCAGGGGGUGCAUUCUACGGCAUAACACCUGUUAAGUAUGCUGCUAUCCCCACCUGUACAAUGUCCUCCUGAAAGUGUACAAAGACGCUUUCUGCUGUGCUAAUUCAUGGUGGGAAGUAGCUCAGAAACCAGGGCGGAGAUAACCACCAUGCCGUGCUAUGCCUCUCACAUUUUUAAAAGUGGUUACCGUAACUUUAACCCUUAGACAGAAACCAGGGUCAUUUCUCUAAAAAAUUUAAAUUCAAAAUUAAAGAUUGGAAUCUUUUAUAAACGUAUUAUUUGAAGAUAAUAUCUCCAAGCUCGUAAUUUGGAAUCUUUCUUACAACUAACAUUUGAAUUGUAUGCCCCAAAAUCAAAAAUUGAUCCAACCCCAACCCUACGUUUCAACCUAAUCUAAACCCUAGGUCUAGCCUUUACCCUGUGUCUAACCCUAACUCUAGUUCUUACCCCAACAGUAGGUCUAACCCUUACCCUAACCCUAACAAAAGUUAUAGCCCUAAUCCGAACCCUGGGUUUAACCCUAACCCUAGGUCUAACCCUGACAAUAACAUUAUGUCUAACCCUAACUGUAUGUUUAACCCUAGUCCUAGGUUAUAACCCUAACUCUAAUCUUAGCCCUAACUUUUAUUUAGCCCUAGGUGUAACCCUAACCCAGCUCUAAUAUUAACCAUAACCCUAACCCUAACCGUAGUGUUUGAAACUACUAUCUAAGGUUGUUAUUGAAAAUAUGUUUAACCACUGACAUUUAAAAUUUCAGACCCAAAGUCUGAAGUUCUAAAACUAUCUGACACUCACACUAGUCUUAAAAAACCCCUAGGGUUAGGGUUAGGGUUAGGGUUAGGGGUUAGGGUUAGGGUUAGGGUUAGGGUUUAGGGUUAGGGUUAGGGUUAGGGGUUAGGGUUAGGGUUUAGGGUUAGGGUUAGGGUUAGGGGUUAGGGUUAGGGUUAGGGGUUAGGGUUAGGAUUACGGGAAAAGGGGGACUGUCUCCUAGGAUAGGAGACAGGAGGUGCACGGUCCAUCCCCCUGUUCCCCGUCCCCCACGACCCCGUUUGGUACUGCUGAUUAUUAGUGCGGUACGGGCGUCGACCACGCCUCCCGUACCGCACUUCAGUCCAUUGUUCAUGCUCGUAAGUCAUGAUUGUUUUUUAAUCUUUUUAAUUAUUUAUUACUAUUUAUUAAUGUGGUGUAAUUACUAAACUAUUUAUUUAUUGGUGUAUCUAUCUAUGCAAUUUAUUUAUUUAUUGAAAUGAAGGUAUUUAAAACCAAAACAGUAUAACAAUACAAAUGAAUUGUUCUUAUUUUUUUAUGCUUUUUUGUUUUUUUUGUGUAAUAAAAAUGAAAUAAAAUGAAAUAAAAGUGAAAAAACUAAAUAAAUUGUGUAUGAAAAUGAAGAAUCGAGGAAUAAGUGAUGAAAAAAGUGCCCAGUCGCGACGUUUCGACCGCUGUGGGUCUUCUUCAGGCUAUGGGCACAAAAUAAAAUAUGUCUGGGCUUGUUUGAGUCUGUUGGUGAGAUGCUUUCUCUUCAGGAGACAUAUGAGAAGUGAAGAAACUGAGCUCUGUGUGCGUGUGUUAUUUAUAGGGGCGUGGGAGAGGGCAGAGCCAGACGGGGGCCCCCGGCCGUCUGGAUACCGUCUGGGUGCAGUUAACCCCAUAAAUGCCAACUAGAAUUAAAUGACCUAAAUGUUAAUGCCUAAUUAGAACUUUUUACCCUCUUUUUAAGUGAUUAAACUUUAUGAAUUGUAAUUGUAAUGGCCAAUUUAGAAAUUUCUACCCUGUUUUAGCUGAUUAAUUGUAAUUUUAAGGCCCAAUUUAGAAUGUUUUCCCCUCUUUUUAACAGAUUAAUUGAAAAUGAAUUGUAAUUUAAUGCCCCAUUGAAACUUUAGUCUUUUAGAUCCAUAAUUGCCAAUUAGUAUUUUGAUGAAGUUGAAUUUUAAAGAUAGUUGUAGUGUUUUUAGCCCUUAAUCCUUUUUAAAUGUUAGAUAAGAUAUGCAUUUUUAAUAUUUACGGUUUAAAUGUCAAAUCAUGAAUAUUUUUAGCGUAUUAUGAAGUUUAAUAAUUAAUAAUGAAUUAAAAAUAAUUAGUACAAAUACAUUAUUAGUUUUUAAAGGUUAGGGUUAGGGGUCGGGGCUAGGGUUAGAGAGGUUAGGGUUAGGGUUAGGGUUAGGGGUUAGGGUUAGGGUUAGGGGUUAGGGUUUAGGGUUAGGGUUAGGGUUAGGGUUAGGGGUUAGGGUUAGGGUUAGGGGUUAGGGUUAGGGUUAGGGUUAGGGGUUAGGUUUGGGGAAUGAAUCCCGUCUCCCAUAGGGAGCGGGGAAUGCACGGGCCUUCCCUCGACCGGACACGUUCCCCCGGUCCCGGAAUGGCUGGCGGAAGCGCUGGCCUUUACGGCCAAAGCGGACCUCCGUCCAGCCGUCAAAGCCACUCCUGCGUGGAGUGGCCAUCAUACUUUGUUUUAAGAUUUGUAUAUAUUUAAAUUAAAAUUGUGAUUUUAUCCCACAGAAAUAAAUGAAAUUAAACUCUUUCUUAAACAAAAUUGUGAUUUCCUUGUUGUUUUUUAUAAAGAUUUUACUUAAAUGAGAUUAUGAUUGUUUUUAUAGAGAUGCUGUUUGUAAUACAAAAUAAAAUAACUAUUUUUAAACCCUUUCUUAAAAUAAAAUGUUGAUUUUGUUCUUAUUUGAACUUGUUAAUUAACUAAAACUGUGAUUAAAUACCCUCAAAAUAAACUAUAACUGUUUUUACAUUUUUUUGUAUUUUUUUUAUUUUUUUGUAUUUUUUUGUUUUUUAAUUUUUUUAGAAUGUUUUUAUUUGUUUUUCACAAUGAUAACUAUUCUUAGCCUUCCUAUUGUGUGCCUAUGAUGCUACGUUUCGACCUGUGUUGGUCUUCCUCAGGCCAAGGCACACACAAAAUAAAGCAAACAGUGGUUUAAAUGCAGUAGGUCUUUACUUGGUGGCUGUCAGAGUGAAAAUGAAUUUUCCUCCUCUGCUCUGCCUUUUAUACUCUCCCAGAGAAAAAUACCAUGAAUUUCCUUAUUUUUUAACUAAAUUAUAAACCCUUUUUCUAUUUACUCUUUUAACCCUUUAGCACCCUUGUAGAGAAUUUACCAUGUAAUAUAUGCUCUUAUUUAUUUAUUUAUUUAUUUAUUUAUUUAUUUAUUAACCCCCUAAGGUUAGGGUUAGGGUUAGACCUAGGGUUAGGGUUAGGGUUAGGGUUAGGGCUAGGGUUAGGGUUAGGGUUAGGGUUAGAGCCCAGGUUAGGGUUAGGGUUAGGGGUUAGGGUUAGGGUUAGGGUUAGGAUAUAGGGAUAUGUGCCACUUUUGACAUGCCGGUUCAUUGCCUUUCCCAUCGAUGAACCGGGCUGAGAUUUGGUCUACCCCCCCAUUUUCGGGUAUGCUGAAUCUAGAAAUACUAAUGAACCAGCGAUUGGACAUUCCUAUCAAAAGUUAUGGCGAAAUGGAAAUUUCCCAUUGAAAAUGAAUGGGAGCGGAAAAUGGCCAAAGUCAGUGUUUCCAAGUGUUCUACUUUGUCUGGAAAUGUUGAAAAUGGGUUGUGAGCACUUUUAAGGCCAUUUCCUGUCGUUUGAGGGUUAGCCUCUCGGAGUGCUCCUGUGUUAGGGUUAGGAUUGGGGAAUGACUCCCGUCUCCCUCUAAGUUAUGACCCUGCUUGGGUCUUCAAGGAG